rnacentral:misc_RNA from 1 species
UUUCCGUAGGUGAACCUGCGGAAGGAUCAUUACCUAGAGUUGUAGGCUUUGCCUGCUAUCUCUUACCCAUGUCUUUUGAGCACCUCACGUUUCCUCGGCAGGCUCGCCUGCCAAUGGGGACCACUUUAAAACCUCUUAUGUAUGCAGUAAACGUCCACAAAUAAAUGAAAUCAAAACUUUCAACAACGGAUCUCUUGGUUCUGGCAUCGAUGAAGAACGCAGC